rnacentral:misc_RNA from 1 species
GAUCUCUGCCCCGGGUGCGUCGCAGCCCCGGACCAAGGCGCCCGCCGGAGGACCAACCAAAACUCUUUUUGUAUACCCCCUCGCGGGUUUUUUAUAAUCUGAGCCUUCUCGGCGCCUCUCGUAGGCGUUUCGAAAAUGAAUCAAAACUUUCAACAACGGAUCUCUUGGUUCUGGCAUCGAUGAAGAACGCAGCGAAAUGCGAUAAGUAAUGUGAAUUGCAGAAUUCAGUGAAUCAUCGAAUCUUUGAACGCACAUUGCGCCCGCCAGUAUUCUGGCGGGCAUGCCUGUCCGAGCGUCAUUUCAACCCUCGAACCCCUCCGGGGGGUCGGCGUUGGGGAUCGGCCCUGCCUUGGCGGUGGCCGUCUCCGAAAUACAGUGGCGGUCUCGCCGCAGCCUCUCCUGCGCAGUAGUUUGCACACUCGCAUCG